CAGCCGCGGUAAUACGGGGGAUGCAAGCGUUAUCCGGAAUCAUUGGGUGUAAAGCGCCUGAUAGGUUGUUUGAUAAGUCUGUUGUUAAAGCCUAGGGCUUAACCCUAGAAAAGCGAUGGAAACUACCAGACUAGAGUAUGGAAGGGGUAGAGGGAAUUUCUAGUGUAGCGGUGAAAUGCGUAGAUACUAGAAAGAACACCAGAGGCGAAAGCGCUCUACUGGGCCAGUACUGACACUCAGAGGCGAAAGCUAGGGUAGCAAAAGGGAUUAGAUACCCCUGUAGUCCUAGCCGUAAACGAUGGAUACUAGAUGUUGUGGGUUACUUACAACAGAUGUUGUAGAUUAACAUGCAGUGACGAAGCUAACGCGUUAAGUAUCCCACCUGGGGAGUACGCUCGCAAGGGUGAAACUCAAAGGAAUUGACGGGGGCUUGCACAAGCGGUGGAGCAUGUGGUUUAAUUCGAUGCAACGCGAAGAACCUUACCAGGAUUUGACAUACUACAAAUCUUUUUGAGAAAAAAGAGCGCCUUCGGGAAUGUAGAUACAGGUGGUGCAUGGCUGUCGUCAGCUCGUGUCGUGAGAUGUUGGGUUAAGUCCCGCAACGAGCGCAACCCUUAUUUUUAGUUACUAACUUGUUAGGUUCUCUAGAAAGACUGCCGGUGACAAACCGGAGGAAGGUGAGGAUGACGUCAAGUCAGCAUGCCCCUUAUAUCCCUGGGCUACCAUCACGUGCUACAAUGGUUAAGACAAUGAGUCGCGAGCUCGUGAGAGUCAGCUAAUCCCAAUAAAUUUAGUCUAAG
rnacentral:rRNA from 1 species